UACGUAGGGACCAAGCGUUGUUCGGAUUUACUGGGCGUAAAGGGCGCGUAGGCGGCACUUCAAGUCAUCUGUGAAAUCUCCGGGCUUAACUCGGAACGGUCAGAUGAUACUGCUUUGCUAGAGUGCAGGAGGGGCAAUCGGAAUUCUUGGUGUAGCGGUGAAAUGCGUAGAUAUCAAGAGGAACACCUGAGGUGAAGACGGGUUGCUGGGCUGACACUGACGCUGAGGCGCGAAAGCCAGGGGAGCAAACGGG
rnacentral:rRNA from 1 species